GGGAAUGUAGCUCAGUGGUAGAGUACUUACCUAACAAGAACAUGGCCCUGGGUUUGAUCCCCAUCUUUCUCU
rnacentral:tRNA from 1 species